UCUUCUCUCUCUUCUUCUCUUCCUUCCUUCUCCUUUAAUGGAUUUAUGGUAACUAACUCCACUUAGUGAUGUAUCUAACUUCCUUUAAAUGUGGAAGAAAGUUGUGAGGUGUUUUAUAUUCUAUUGAAAAUUGAUGGAACUCAACCUAAUUUGAUUCUAAAUGGUUCAACAGAAAAUCCGUGACAUGCAGGCAUACUCAAUCAACACACAGCAAUUACUGAGACUCACAAAUUUUUUGGCACCAACCAACCACUGACUAAUUUUGCAAAAAGGCAAAAGCUAUUUUGAAAAUUGAUAUAACCCCCUGUGACUGGGAGGGCCGGGAGGGAGGCUCAUAAAUAUGAAAACCUGGAACCUAAACUCAAUGUCUUGUCUAACGUAACUGCCUUUAUUUUCUUUUGAUUAUUCAAGAUAUGCCUUUCUCCAAUCUCACAAUUUAAUGUGCUCCCUUCCUAUUCGCUGCUUGGUCGUUGCCACAUUAAAUGCCUCCCUUAGAAUCUCUCUCAUAAGAAUGGACACACCCAUCAAGCCUUAGCUUCUUCACCACUCUUUCUUUUCCUUCUCCUCACUCAUAAUGCAACUACUCACGUAAAACUUUAAACCUUCUCCUCCUCCUCCUUCUUCCUGGAUCUUCCCUUGCAUUGUAUUGGACGUAUCUAAGGAUUUUAUCUUUAGCAAUUUGGUUUAGGCGGAAAACUAUUCUUAGCAGAUAAGCAAAAUCAUCAAUUUCGGUGCACAAAUAUUGCUUCUAUUUUUCUUU